CCAACACAGAGAGAAAAGGGUGGGUUCUGCGAACAGAUGAGUAGGGUUUUGGUAGAGAAUGAAGAAGUCCGGAACAAGAUGCCUAUAUCAAGAGAUAAGUCCGGAACACAGUUUUCUAUAUGACCCAAAUUCGGAAUCCAUACAAACCCGGAAGUUGUUAAACCCGGAUGGGGUACCCCCUUUCAAAUAUACACGCACCCUUCCGGUAGAUCAGAUUAGAGUUUUUAAGAUUUCCUCUGCCUGCAGAUGUUUUUAAGAUUAUAUUUGGGGAAUAAUUUGUUUCGGUAAUCACCGCCGUUUUCCCCAUUAAAUUGACCGCGUUUUCACUCUUGGUCUUCAACCGUUUUCUCCUUUUAUUUAUCAACGCACGAAUUGCAAUCGCUCUUUCUGUCUCGCGAAUCACCAUUUUAAUCUGCCGAAUCACAUAAGUUCCAUUUUCGAUUUUCAAGAGCAUUUUAUUGGAACGAAGAACAAAUCAAUGGUGACAAAGAAAUAGAACGAUCUAUUUUUGUGAUUGUGAAGAUGGUAGUGGUGCACCCAAUGCUAUACAUAAUGCUCAUGCGCAGCAAUGCGCGCACCACAAAAUCGGCGUCACUUUUGACAACCAAAUUGGUUUGCUUUCGUUAUUAGUCGUUCGUUUGCUUUCAUGAUUUGUGAUUGAUACCACACGCCUCAAAUUGUUGUUGGAACGUUGCAAGCGAUAAGUUCCAAUUACACGAUAGUUUACACAAUCAUCUCAAUCACACCGCCACAGUCGGUUUGUACAACAAGCGAAGAGAGAGAAAAGUGGUGUAAGGAUUAUGGGCAUAGGCUGGGAAAGAUUACCGUAAAAAUCUGCAAAAUGGACUGAAUAAGGGUUCGCUUACGCUGCUGGAAUCACUUUUGAAUCUUAUGGGUUCUCAUGGCUCCCAUGAUAUAUUCUAUUGAUUUCCUUUUAUCCUAUGAAUUAUUCAAGUAACAAUAUGAGGCAAUAUAUGCUUUCAUCUUGCACACAUAGUCCGAUUAGAAAGGUUUUUUUUUUUUUUUUAAUUUAUUUGCCAUCACAUUUAACAGUAAACCUCCCUGUUUCCUUGCAUCGGGCCAUCCACCCAUUUUACCAUCAUCAUUAGCCUUCAUGAUAUGGCCAUGGUUUUAAAAAACAGCCGAGGCGUCCGUACUGAGGCACGCCUCGAGGCGGAACGGAGCAAAAUCGUAUAUGACGCGGUUAAUGUUUGUUUACAAACUUGGUCACUGAUCAAAUUAAGCAUCUAGCUGCUUUCCACACACUAUCUUUUGAUACAUGACUUGUAAUCAGGCUGAUUAUAGUUAGUAGAUUACUGACAGAGUGAUAUGACUUGUAAGCUGACGUAAGACGCAGUCCUUUGAGGGCUGUCUUUGGGAGGCAUGGGCAUUUUUGUGCUUUUUAUCAACUUAGGUGGUGGCCAGGCCAUGAAGUCGGUCAUCUUUCCACUAGAAAAUUCAUCCACCGUCUCGCUGCUUUUAGGGAGAGAAAGGAACCGGCGGGGAAUUUCAGCUUGCAUUAUCAUUCUGCAAAUUAGACAAACAAGCAACCUGACUAGACACAAAGUUCAUCCGUACAUAUUUCUACUAUGUAAUCAUAAAUUUCUGAUCUCUUUACAGUGAGAAGAAGAUUCGAGUGGUUAUGUGCAUCAAUUCAGUUCGCUUUUGUGGUAGUCUUCGCACAUAUUUUCUACUAUGUGGUAAGCAGCCCAGCCCACAAAGUUCAUUCGUAUCUUUCACACAUGAAAACACACUCACUAUGUAGUUGUCUUUCGAAUGCCGUGAUGUGCAGCCUGUUUUGUCGAUCCUGCUUGCAACAUUUGUAGGGUGUGGGGUUGCUAUGUGUGGUAGCUCGAUUGUUGUUGAGAUUUUAAGAUUAGAAAGACGACGGCAGCAUGACAGUGACACUUGAGAUCAGCAAAUGACAUCCGCGAAUCAUUUUUUAUCCACAACCAAGACAAAUUGCAUCCUCAUCUUCUCAUGUUGUUACUCCACUAAUAAUUGAAACUGGGAAUAGAGAAGCUGAUAGAGGUAGGUAAGUUUGGGAUCUCUCUUUCUUCCAUAAGGAAAGAUGAUUAAUGUGAUGACCCUGCAGUUUUAAUUGAGACGAGAACGUAGUGCCAAAAUAUAGAUUAGCAUAUGAUGAACAAUAUUAAAAAGUUUAUUCUAAAUUCAGUUAUUUAUAUAUUGUGUUUUGUUAUCUAUACUAAAGUCUU